rnacentral:rRNA from 1 species
GAUGAACGCUGGCGGUCUGCUUAACACAUGCAAGUCGAACGGGCACUUUCGGGAGCUAGUGGCGGACGGGUGAGUAAAGCGGGAGAAUAUGCGCGUUGGAGGGGGAUAACGGUUUGAGACGACCUCUAAUAACCCAGGUUACGAGAGGAAAGAAGUAAUUCGCCAAGGGAUGGGCUCGCAUCGUAUUAGCUAGUUGGUGUGGUAAGAGCCCACCAAGGCGACGAUCCGUAGCUGGUCUGAGAGGAGGACCCGCCACACUGCGACUGAGAGACGGCCCCGACUCCUACGGGCGGCAGCAGUGAGGAAUGUUCAGCAAUGGGCGCACGCCUGACGGAGCAAGACGGCGUGAGGGAAGACGGUCUGUGUAUUGUAAGCCUCUUUUGACAGCGAAGAAGUACUGACGGUACCUGUUGAAUCAGCCUCGGCUAACUCCGUG